CCUACGGGAGGCAGCAGUGGGGAAUUUUGGACAAUGGGCGCAAGCCUGAUCCAGCAAUGCCGCGUGCAGGAUGAAGGCCUUCGGGUUGUAAACUGCUUUUGUACGGAACGAAAAAGUCUGCCCUAAUACGGUGGGCCCAUGACGGUACCGUAAGAAUAAGCACCGGCUAACUACGUGCCAGCAGCCGCGGUAAUACGUAGGGUGCGAGCGUUAAUCGGAAUUACUGGGCGUAAAGCGUGCGCAGGCGGUUUAUAUAAGACAGAUGUGAAAUCCCCGGGCUCAACCUGGGACCUGCAUUUGUGACUGUAUAGCUAGAGUACGGUAGAGGGGGAUGGAAUUCCGCGUGUAGCAGUGAAAUGCGUAGAUAUGCGGAGGAACACCGGAUGGCGAAGGCAAUCCCCUGGACCUGUACUGACGCUCAUGCACGAAAGCGUGGGGAGCAAACAGGAUUAGAUACCCUGGUAGUCCACGCCCUAAACGAUGUCAACUGGUUGUUGGGUCUUCACUGACUCAGUAACGAAGCUAACGCGUGAAGUUGACCGCCUGGGGAAGUCGGCCGCAAGGUUGAAACGUCAAAGUAGUAGUCGCGNGNGAGAGACGACGACGACGACGAGGAGGGAGG
rnacentral:rRNA from 1 species